rnacentral:rRNA from 1 species
UACGUAGGGUGCGAGCGUUAAUCGGAAUUACUGGGCGUAAAGCGUGCGCAGGCGGUUCGCUGUGUCCUGUGUGAAAGCCCCGGGCUUAACCUGGGAAUGGCAUGGGAAACUGGCGGGCUGGAGUGCGGCAGGGGAGACUGGAAUUCCUGGUGUAGCGGUGGAAUGCGCAGAUAUCAGGAGGAACACCGGUGGCGAAGGCGGGUCUCUGGGCCGUUACUGACGCUGAGGAGCGAAAGCGUGGGGAGCGAACAGG